CCAAGCCCUAUUCACGGUCACAGCAUUAGAAUUCAGGUGUCCUCCCUCCUGUUCCCGGACCUGGGCUGCUUUCUACCCUCCCCUGCGUCCCACCUGUGGGGACAGGGACAGAACCCAGUCUGCAGAUGUUGGUGUCCCUGGAAAAAGACUGCAUGAAACUUUCCCACAAAUGACUUCUGAGGAUAAGACCUGUAUGGUGACAGUGCUGAGCUAGCUCUGUCCCUCCAUCAGAGGACAGUGCCCCACCUGGUCCCAGCUUCCUCUCCCACUCAACGUUCCACGUCCGCUCCGCCAAGGCUCCACGUGGGCCCUGAAGCCGUCUUCAUCUUGCGCGCCCCUGUUCUGCAGUUUCUGUUUUGUGAUCAUCUCGGUUCACCUACGUCUUUGAGUUCAGAACAUCCUGCAGAUCAGACUUGAGUGGAAGCGAGACAGGCAGGGGCCCCCGUGGAGGACCAGAGGGUGGGAAGAUGAAACAAUCACCCCGUGCAGCAUGGCCUGUGGCUUCCCUACCCCGAUAGCCCCAGCAGCAGGACGUUUGCCAAGAAAACAGUGUCGCCGGGGGAGACCUGGUGAACCCUGUGGCUUCGCCUGCUCUGUGUCAACUUAAAAGUGGCUGAUCUGGGAGGUCCCGGGGUGACCUGAUGACACGCGGCCUCCCACAAGCUCUGCUGUGGCUAACACCUCUGAUGCGCGGGUCCUGAUGACAACGGUUGCCUAGGUUACCUGCAGGGAGUGGGUUUGCUGAAGAACACUGCUCCUCCUUGGCUCUGCAGAUGUCUGGUGGGUGGAGGGAGCAGGACCUGUCUUCCUAUUGAGUCUGUCCCCUCUGUGGCCUGAACUUCUGGACUAGAUUCUACCCGGCUCUGCAUGGAGACUCGCUCUUGCCCCCUGGCGCUGGUAGAAGUUUCUUUCUCCCGACUUUGGGCUUUUUCAGUGGCGACAGCAGCCCAAACAGCACAAGGCCUUGAGCCUAUCCUGAGGCCCAGCUGGAGCCCCAGGGCCAGGAUGUCUGCACAGGGCGGGAGUGCCAGGCGCCAGAGGACAAGCUGACCAGGACAGCCUUGGGUCUGAGUCUUCUGCAAGAAGAAAUAUCAUUUGGAACCACUCCCGGGGCCAUUGAUCCCAUCUCUGGCAUCAAAAGUUUCGUUUGAGGGAAAAUCCUGCCUCUUGGAAGUAUGAAGGCCACUCUCCUAUCUCCCAACUGAACCCACAGGAGCUAUGCCAGAGAGCCUGUGCUCAGCCUGGACUUCCAGCCAGGUGUGCGCGCCAAUCCCCACCUAUGAUGACUGUUUGUGACCUGACCUUGAAAUGUGGCAGGCCCCCAAAGCCACUCAUUUUCUAUUGGAGCUAGCAGCAGAAUGACUUGGUGUCGGAUUUGGAAAAUGACAUUUCAGUAGUUGAGCUGAUGGAUGGCGUCAUUCCACACUUAACAGUCUACUUUCUUGCCUCUCUGGGUCAAAUAGUCAAAUACACUGGUCCCUCAGUAUCCACAGAGGAUUGGUUCCAGGACCUAUAACGGAUAUCCAAAUGCAGAUGAUGCUCAGGUUCCUUGUAUAAAAUGGCAUAGUGUUUGCAGAGAGACUGAACAUCAUUCUGUAUAUUUUUGGUCUUCCCUAUAUUAUUUGUAAUAACUAACAAAAUAUAAAUGCCAUGUAAA